AUUGAACGCUGGCGGCAGGCCUAACACAUGCAAGUCGAGCGGAUGAAGGGAGCUUGCUCCUGGAUUCAGCGGCGGACGGGUGAGUAAUGCCUAGGAAUCUGCCUGGUAGUGGGGGACAACGUUUCGAAAGGAACGCUAAUACCGCAUACGUCCUACGGGAGAAAGCAGGGGACCUUCGGGCCUUGCGCUAUCAGAUGAGCCUAGGUCGGAUUAGCUAGUUGGUGAGGUAAUGGCUCACCAAGGCGACGAUCCGUAACUGGUCUGAGAGGAUGGUCGUUCACACUGCAACAGAGACACGGUCCAUACUCCUACAGGAGGCAGAAGUGGGGAAUAUUGGACGAUGGGCGAAAGCCUGAUCCAGCCAUGCCGCGUGUGUGAAGAAGGUCUUCGGAUUGUAAAGCACUUUAAGUUGGGAGGAAGGGUUGUAGAUUAAUACUCUGCAAUUUUGACGUUACCGACAGAAUAAGCACCGGCUAACUCUGUGCCAGCCGCCGCAGUAAUAC
rnacentral:rRNA from 1 species